CAUAGGUGCACUGUUGCUACCAGCAACUGAAGCCGAGGAUCCUCCAAAAGGAAACCCAGUUGAUGUUGAACCAAAUAUGGGAGAUUUAGUGGUUGGCGGCCAAUUGGAACUAAACACAUUGGAGGUAAUGCCACUGGUGGAGCUAAGAGAGGUGCUGACCUCAGACAAUGAAACUGAAGAGCUCAGUCCACUACUGCUCGAUCCAAACAGUUUGGCAGGAGUUGAAGAACCAAAUAGAGAGUUGAGAGGUGCAGCACCAGUCAUCCCAAAUGAAGAUGAGGUGGACAAACCAAACUGAAUGGGCAUGCUCUGAGUAGAGGAUGCAAUCCCUGUCCCAGCAGGAGAUGAUGAUGUCUGGGCAGAAAGCAAAGAUCCACUGCCAGCACCAAAAGGAG
rnacentral:lncRNA from 1 species